UACAGAAUAUUAUACAACAGAAAACUAUAAAAAAAGCAAAACUAUAUAAUCCCUUCCAUUCGAAGAACCCCUUGACUUGGUGUUCUGUUAGAGCCCCAAUGUCGCACUGUGGCAAAAUGUCAGCGAACGCAUUUGAACUUUUCAUUGCUGUUGCAGCAGCAGCAGCAGCCAAACUUCCCACGUAAAAUUAGCAACUGGAGGGGGGAAUGGGCAUCUCCGCCCACUGAGAGGCCGGCCGUGCCUCUGGGUCUGCCCUCGAUUCGGAUUCGGAUACAGAUUUGGACUUGGAUUCGGCUGCCAUGUUGCACAAUCCCGGCCAGCAGCAGCAGCAGCAGUCGCAGCACGGUGUCGUUGCACGAGUUCAGGGUCAGUUGGCGUUGCACUCAGCGCCCAGCAGCUAAAAACUGGGUGUGGGUUGAAACACUUGGGUGGAUGCACUUGCAGAAAUAUUGGGGGGUUACUUUGUCAUGUAAAUUACAGAUAAUUUGAUAAAGGAUUCAAUAUCUUAAGGAUAA